AGGACGAACGCUGGCGGCGUGCUUAACACAUGCAAGUGGAGCGACGAACCAGGGCUUGCCCUGGGGCAGAGCCGCGAACGGGUGAGUAACACGUGGGUUACCUGCCUUGAUGACCGGGACAACCCGAGGAAAACUCGGGCUAAUACCGGAUGUGCCCGCAAGGGGAAAGGAAGCUUCGGCCUCCGCAUCAAGAUGGGCCCGCGGCCCAUUAGCUUGUUGGUGAGGUAACGGCUCACCAAGGCUUCGAUGGGUAGCUGGUCUGAGAGGACGAUCAGCCACACUGGGACUGAGACACGGCCCAGACUCCUACGGGAGGCAGCAGUGGGGAAUCUUGCGCAAUGCGCGAAAGCGUGACGCAGCAACGCCGCGUGGGGGAAGAAGGCUUUCGGGUUGUAAACCCCUUUCAGUUGGGACGAAGCUUCUCCGGUGAAUAGCCGGACGGAGUGACGGUACCUUCACAAGAAGCACCGGCUAACUACGUGCCAGCAGCCG
rnacentral:rRNA from 1 species